UAGAAGAACUUUUGAACCAUAUCUCUUGGAAAUUACUGUGCUUUUUCUUGUCUGAGAAGAAAAAAUAAUAAAAUAUAUAUUUUAAAAAUAAAUUUUAAAAUGUUUUUUAUCAUACUCUUUAGUUCAUUCGGGAGCCUAUUAAAAAGUUUACUUCCCUCUGUAUUCUAAUGUGGUAUUACUAGCAGUAUCCUCUUUUGUUAUGGUUAUUCUUGGCCCUGAAGAAAGUUUAGUCUUGAUUAUGGAACACUGAUUGUUGUUUAAGUGUUAAUGUACUUGAUUUAAUAAUUUUUUUCCCCGCUCAAUUUGAAUUUUCAGACUUAGAGUAUCAAUUACAAGUCCCACUAGGAUCUUUUGUGCAGAAUUUAAUGGUUAAGAAAGUCAGCUUAAAAGGAAAGGCUGGGUUACCUAAUUAUCUUGACUUUCACAUGCUUCUUUUUUUUAUCUUUUUCGGUCCAAUUUGUUACGGUUUCACAUUUCUCCAAACAUGUCAAAAUUUACAUCAACUUAAAGGUGGCAUCCAUACGGCACAUUUUUUGCCACAAUUUGUCACAUUGCCAUUAUGUUGCCCAGAAACGCACCCAUGUAAUUGGCUAUGUUGCCUUGCCGGGUGAGAGGGUGGGUAAUCGUAAAGUUGGUCCUGGUUUAAACUGCCUCAAUAAUUCAAGUAACGUUAUGAUAGCGUUUCUGUGUAAUCUUUUUAAAAAGUGCCAGGAUAAUAUAUCCGAAAUGUUACUCAGCAAUAACAUGGUAAUAUUACUGUGAAACAUUGCAGAAACGUUGCCAGGAUACGUUGCGGCCCGUGAGACAAAAUUCUGUUUGCCACAACCUUGUCAACACUUUGCCAGGAAACAUUACCAGAUAAUUGGCAAUGUUGCCGCAACGUUUUUGCAACGUUGCUUUGCCGGGCGGGUAGUACGUAAGAGUUUCUCAGGGGUAAUUUAUAUUAAAUUUAUUAUGUUUUUCAUUUUCUUUAUUUUUUCUAGUAGGUAAGAGUUUCUCAGGGGAAAUCCUUGUGAUAAGAGCCCCAAAUUUGUGUUUUCUUCCUAAAAAAAGGCGCAGCUAAGCAAUGUCAAAGCGCACAAGUAGGUGUUAUUUUUGGCGUUCGAAUUGUAAAUUUUAUUUUCUCAUUUGACCACUUCUCCAGUUCAAGCUAUCAUCAGCGUUCUGUUCUCAAUCGCCUACAGCUUAUUUGCUAAAUUUGAUUUUUGAAUAAAGAUACUUCUUUCGUUUUUCCUCUCUA